rnacentral:rRNA from 1 species
CACAGUGUAGCAAUACAUGGGUGGCGACCGGCAAACGGGUGCGGAACACGUACGCAACCUUCCUUCAGGCGGGGAAUAGCCCAGAGAAAUUUGGAUUAAUACCCCAUAAUAUUUUGAGAUGGCAUCAUCUUAUUAUUAAAGCUACGGCACCUGGAGAUGGGCGUGCGGCUGAUUAGGUAGUUGGCGGGGUAAUGGCCCACCAAGCCUACGAUCAGUAGCUGAUGUGAGAGCAUGAUCAGCCACACGGGCACUGAGACACGGGCCCGACUCCUACGGGAGGCAGCAGUAAGGAAUAUUGGUCAAUGGACGCAAGUCUGAACCAGCCAUGCCGCGUGGAGGAUGAAGGUCCUCUGGAUUGUAAACUUCUUUUAUCUGGGACGAAAAAAGGGUUUUCUAACUCGUCUGACGGUACCAGAUGAAUAAGCACCGGCUAACUCCGUGCCAGCAGCCGCGGUAAUACGGAGGGUGCAAGCGUUAUCCGGAUUCACUGGGUUUAAAGGGUGCGUAGGCGGGCAUUUAAGUCAGUGGUGAAAUACCUGAGCUUAACUUGGGAACUGCCAUUGAUACUAUUUGUCUUGAAUGUCGUGGAGGUUAGCGGAAUAUGUCAUGUAGCGGUGAAAUGCUUAGAUAUGACAUAGAACACCUAUUGCGAAGGCAGCUAACUACGCGAAUAUUGACGCUGAGGCACGAAAGCGUGGGGAUCAAACAGGAUAAGAUACCCUGGUAGUCCACGCCCUAAACGAUGAUUACUCGACAUUAGCGAUACACUGUUAGUGUCUGAGCG